AGCAGGUAGUGUGCAGUAAUGAUAAGAAUGUGCCGGAGGCCAUGAAGGAUUGAUAUCUACUUCAGAAAUACUCAGAAGCAAUGGCUUUCUUUCCCCUCCCCAUGUCCAGUGACAAGAGGAAAUUCCCUCCUGAAAUGCUUCAGCAAAUUUCUCAGCCUUCUCCAGAGCCUUAAUCUUGGAUCUCUCUCUGCUCAAGAUGGAAAGAGGGCUAUCUGUGAUCCAAACAGAACAGGGCUGCCUCUGCCCUGCCAGCCUUAUGUUCACAGCCUCAGCGGAGCUCCCAGCAUGCUGAAACUGGUGUCCAAGAGCCUUGCUGAGAGGACACACUGAAAACAAGACUUCAAAGGACCAGCUACUUGCAGAAGGCCCUGACAAACGUGGAUGUGAAGAAGCUGUACUGGGCAUGCUGGAUGUUGGGUGCAGCAGCUCACCUGUAUACAUGCAAAGCUCCUGCCAAGCUGAGAUCUGGGAUCGGUUGGUGAGUUUGUAGUUCAGGGGUCAUGAGAUAGGAAAAGUUGUUUUUUAUUUGUAGAAAUCAACAAACAAAAGGAAAUCUUAAAAAAAAAAAAAAAAAAAAAAGUAAUUUUGGGUUCAUCUUAGACAUGUUUGCCCAAGGCAGUGCCUUUUUAUUUUCAAGCACUUUAAUCAAAAACAAUUACGUUAUAUUUCAUUUUUCAAAGUGGAAAACAAAGACGUACCAGUUACAAAUAGCAAUUGAAACAGAAGAAGAGUAGAGUGCAUUCCAUUGCUAAGGAGAAAAAUGCUGGAACAAAAUAUUUCAAAAUUUUCAGAAAGAUCUGUUUUGGUAAGGUCAAAAAUAUUUGUCUCCAUCAAACCAAGCCCAUCAAUAGCUCUGCCUCCUC
ensembl:lncRNA